rnacentral:rRNA from 1 species
GACGAACGCUGGCGGCGUGCUUAACACAUGCAAGUCGAACGAUGAUGCUGGAGCUUGCUCCAGUUGAUUAGUGGCGAACGGGUGAGUAACACGUGAGCAAUCUGCCCUUGACUCUGGGAUAACUGCGGGAAACUGUAGCAAUACCGGAUACUUUCACCGGAAGGCAUCUUCUGGUGAUGAAAGAAUUUCGGUCAGGGAUGAGCUCGCGGCCUAUCAGCUUGUUGGUGAGGUAACGGCUCACCAAGGCGACGACGGGUAACCGGCCUGAGAGGGUGACCGGUCAGACUGGGACUGAGACACGGCCCAGGCUCCUACGGGAGGCAGCAGUGGGGAAUAUUGCACAAUGGGCGCAAGCCUGAUGCAGCAACGCCGCGUGAGGGAUGAAGGCCUUCGGGUUGUAAACCUCUUUUAGCAGGGAAGAAGCGAAAGUGACGGUACCUGCAGAAAAAGCACCGGCUAACUACGUGCCAGCCGCCGCGGUAA